rnacentral:lncRNA from 1 species
CUCAGAACUCAAAGCAGCACCGCACUCCUAGAGGAACUGCAGAGAUGAAUGCCAGAGGGAAGGCUUUUCCAAGGUCAGCAUUCUCACCACUCAUCUAUCCAGUUUGCCUGCUUUAAAAGAUAUAGGCAGAAAUGCCUAUCCAUUUUGGAAGGGACAGGAUGAAGGUGAUGUGAUCUUGAAGAAGUCCAUGAUCCAUGCUUCGGUCGGCUGCUUUGGCAAGGAGGUUUCUUUAGCAGAGGCAUCUGUGACUGUAGACUCAUAACUGAGAAUGAGAAACACCGAAGGCUUCUGUGACAACCUCCACAUUUCCCACUGGGUAGCUCUUCACAGUCUUCACAGUUGAUAGCUUCUGACAGGGGUGGUGGUGGUGGUGGAGCUGGUGGUGGUGGUAUGGUGAAGAAGGACUCAGUUUUCUUGAACGGACUGGUCAUUGGACAUGCUCCAAAGAGUAAAUGGGAAAUACAAAUUGGUCUUGGUGGGUUUGUUGUUGUUGUUGUUAUUUUGGGGGAGGCACAAGACUUGGAAGAACCUGGGGGGGGGGAAUAGAAAGCAUGUGACCAAGAUGCAUUAUAUGAAAUAAUUAAUAAAAAUAUUAUGUUGUAGAAAAAA